UUGCAACUACAUCACUUUGAAAGCACCGGUUCUCAUCCGAUCACAGAAAGUUAAGCAACGUCGAGCCUAGUUAGUACCUAGAUGAGUGUCCGCUUGGGAAUACCUGGUGUUGUAG